AGUGAACGCUGGCGGUAGGCCUAACACAUGCAAGUCGAACGGCAGCACAGUAAGAGCUUGCUCUUACGGGUGGCGAGUGGCGGACGGGUGAGGAAUACAUCGGAAUCUACUUUUUCGUGGGGGAUAACGUAGGGAAACUUACGCUAAUACCGCAUACGACCUACGGGUGAAAGCAGGGGAUCUUCGGACCUUGCGCGAUUGAAUGAGCCGAUGUCGGAUUAGCUAGUUGGCGGGGUAAAGGCCCACCAAGGCGACGAUCCGUAGCUGGUGUGAGAGGAUGAUCAGCCACACUGGAACUGAGACACGGUCCAGACUCCUACGGGAGGCAGCAGUGGGGAAUAUUGGACAAUGGGCGCAAGCCUGAUCCAGCCAUACCGCGUGGGUGAAGAAGGCCUUCGGGUUGUAAAGCCCUUUUGUUGGGAAAGAAAAGCAGCAGGUUAAUACCCCGCUGUUCUGACGGUACCCAAAGAAUAAGCACCGGCUAACUUCGUG
rnacentral:rRNA from 1 species